AAACAUGUGCAUGCGAAGUGCGCCUGUGGUUCGAACACCGCUUCACUCUUGGUUGGGUAUCAGGUCGUCAGCGUACCUGCAGCGCCUGAGGGUGUAUGAUGUUGUCCUCCUCCACGAUCAACAGAAUGUCGUAACCCAUAAUGUCGAAAGCGAAAGCCUUGACAAAGUAAUGGUGCAGACCCGCACAAAGGUUUGCUGGAUGGCGAAUGUAGGCGAAUUGUGUAUCGCUGGGGAUGGACACGGUUCCAUUCUCGAAGAUAGAAGCGGCGCCGCCA
rnacentral:lncRNA from 1 species